ACCAAAUACAUUGAUCGAAUGGCGCCUUCUUCCUCUAGUGCCGCCGAAGCAUCGUGAAAUUCUCCCCUCCUUCCUCCUGUAAUGCCGCAGGAUCGUGAAUUCAUUCUCUGUCUCCUUCACUGACUCUUCGACGAGCUGACGAUUCGAGUUGUAAGAAAUCCGCUUCGAGCCGUAGUCCUAGUCCUUUACGAAUUUGGAAAUCAUUGAAACUUAUCAUUCAGACUAGCAUUGUUGAUUGAAAAUCCGAGUCGCAGAGGAUAAUCCAAAAGCCUUGUUUAGUGCACCGAUGAACAAAUGUUCGACGCAUUAAGGCUAUUACAGACAGGAUUUUAGUAAAUAGACAGGAUUGUAUUAAGCACUGUCUUUUUUCUAUGACGGAGAUGUGAUGAUCUUUACUCCAAAUGGACUUCCACAAGUAUACAACGUUCUUCGGACAUCGUUACGAGCGUUAAUUGAGAUUGUUCGUUAUGAAGGAUUAGGAAAGGAGGGAAAGAAGAUGCAGGAGAAGAAGAUGGAAGUAAGAGGAAUGGUGAGUUACAACCCGAAUGAGCGAGAGUUGACCAGGCUGAGAAUCAUCAUUUAUUAUUGAUGUGACUCGAAAGUCGAAGACUGAAUUAUAAGGAAAUUCACUCGAUGAUUAUUACUCAGUAAGCAGGUAAGUCUUCUAUUCUUUUGUUAUAUAAUCUGUUGCAUCCGCUACCAUCUACAUUUCUCGUUAUGAUUAAUCAUCAUUACUCAGUUUUUGUUGGAUGAAAUUUGUUGUUUGCUGU